rnacentral:misc_RNA from 1 species
GUAUGACAUGUAAUGGGAUUGGAUUCAGUUAUUCAACUAAUAUAGAUCUUCUUAAGGGUACAAAUGAUAUACAAAGUUUCCAUGUCACAACAUUUCUGAAAUACUGACAAUAUAAUUUUGCCAUACAAUCCUGGAUAUUACCUAAAAAAAGAAAAAUAAAAGAAAGAACUAAUGCAGAAAAGUCUAAAAAAGAAAAAGAGAACUUGUAAUUGUUGUGAAAGCAUUCAUUUUAUAUAGCUCUCUCAAGAGCUCCUGCUGAACUGGUA